rnacentral:rRNA from 1 species
GACGAACGCUGGCGGCGUGCUUAACACAUGCAAGUCGAACGGUGAAGCGCCUUCCUUUUUGGUGGGUGUGGAUGAGUGGCGAACGGGUGAGUAACACGUGAGUAACCUGCCCCCUUCUUCUGGAUAACCGCAUGAAAGUGUGGCUAAUACGGGAUAUUCUGGGUCUGUCGCAUGAUGGGUCUGGGAAAGAUAUUGUUUCGGUGGGGGUUGGGCUCGCGGCCUAUCAGCUUGUUGGUGGGGUGAUGGCCUACCAAGGCGGUGACGGGUAGCCGGCCUGAGAGGGUGGACGGUCACACUGGGACUGAGACACGGCCAAGACUCCUACGGGAGGCAGCAGUGGGGAAUAUUGCACAAUGGGCGCAAGCAUGAUGCAGCGACGCCGCGUGAGGGAUGGAGGCCUUCGGGUUGUGAACCUCUUUCGCCAGUGAAGCAGGCCUGCCUCGUUUGUGGGUGGGUUGACGGUAGCUGGAUAAGAAGCGCCGGCUAACUACGUG